GCUGACGAGUGGCGGACGGGUGAGUAAUGUCUGGGAAACUGCCUGAUGGAGGGGGAUAACUACUGGAAACGGUAGCUAAUACCGCAUAACGUCGCAAGACCAAAGAGGGGGACCUUCGGGCCUCUUGCCAUCGGAUGUGCCCAGAUGGGAUUAGCUUGUUGGUGGGGUAACGGCUCACCAAGGCGACGAUCCCUAGCUGGUCUGAGAGGAUGACCAGCCACACUGGAACUGAGACACGGUCCAGACUCCUACGGGAGGCAGCAGUGGGGAAUAUUGCACAAUGGGCGCAAGCCUGAUGCAGCCAUGCCGCGUGUAUGAAGAAGGCCUUCGGGUUGUAAAGUACUUUCAGCGGGGAGGAAGGGAGUAAAGUUAAUACCUUUGCUCAUUGACGUUACCCGCAGAAGAAGCACCGGCUAACUCCGUGCCAGCAGCCGCGGUAAUACGGAGGGUGCAAGCGUUAAUCGGAAUUACUGGGCGUAAAGCGCACGCAGGCGGUUUGUUAAGUCAGAUGUGAAAUCCCCGGGCUCAACCUGGGAACUGCAUCUGAUACUGGCAAGCUUGAGUCUCGUAGAGGGGGGUAGAAUUCCAGGUGUAGCGGUGAAAUGCGUAGAGAUCUGGAGGAAUACCGGUGGCGAAGGCGGCCCCCUGGACGAAGACUGACGCUCAGGUGCGAAAGCGUGGGGAGCAAACAGGAUU
rnacentral:rRNA from 1 species